AACGAACGCUGGCGGCAUGCCUAACACAUGCAAGUCGAACGAAACCACCGGGUCUUGUGGCGCACGGGUGCGUAAGGCGUGGGAACCUGCACUUAGGUUCGGAAUACCUACCCGAAAGGGGUGCUAAUACCGGAUAAUGUCUUCGGACGAAAGAUUUAUUGCGUUGGGAUGGGCGCGCGUUGGAUUCGCUCGUUGGUAGGGUAAGAGCAUCCUAAGGGGUGGAUGCAUAGCUGGUCUGAGAGGAUGGUUAGCAACACUGGGACUAAGACACGGCCCGGACUCUUACGGGAGGGAGGAGUGGGGAAUAUAGGACAAUGGGCGAAAGGCUGAUCCAGCUAUGCCGGGUAAGUGAUGAUGGCCGGAGAGUAGUAAAGCGCUUUUACCCGUGAUGAUAAUGACGGUACCGGGAGAAUAAGCUCCGGCUAACUCCGUG
rnacentral:rRNA from 1 species